AUUGAACGCUGGCGGCAUGCCUUACACAUGCAAGUCGAACGGCAGCGGACCUUCGGGUGCCGGCGAGUGGCGAACGGGUGAGUAAUAUAUCGGAACGUACCUUUCAGUGGGGGAUAACGUAGCGAAAGUUACGCUAAUACCGCAUAUUCUGUGAGCAGGAAAGCAGGGGAUCGCAAGACCUUGCGCUGAUUGAGCGGCCGAUAUCAGAUUAGCUAGUUGGUGAGGUAAAGGCUCACCAAGGCGACGAUCGUGUAGCGGGUCUGAGAGGAUGAUCCGCCACACUGGAACUGAGACACGGUCCAGACUCCUACGGGAGGCAGCAGUGGGGAAUUUUGGACAAUGGGCGCAAGCCUGAUCCAGCCAUGCCGCGUGAGUGAAGAAGGCCUU
rnacentral:rRNA from 1 species